rnacentral:rRNA from 1 species
GAUGAACGCUGGCGGCGUGCCUAAUACAUGCAAGUCGAGCGAACGGACGAGAAGCUUGCUUCUCUGAUGUUAGCGGCGGACGGGUGAGUAACACGUGGAUAACCUACCUAUAAGACUGGGAUAACUUCGGGAAACCGGAGCUAAUACCGGAUAAUAUUUUGAACCGCAUGGUUCAAAAGUAAAAGACGGUCUUGCUGUCACUUAUAGAUGGAUCCGCGCUGCAUUAGCUAGUUGGUAAGGUAACGGCUUACCAAGGCAACGAAGCAUAGCCGACCUGAGAGGGUGAUCGGCCACACUGGAACUGAGACACGGUCCAGACUCCUACGGGAGGCAGCAGUAGGGAAUCUUCCGCAAUGGGCGAAAGCCUGACGGAGCAACGCCGCGUGAGUGAUGAAGGUCUUCGGAUCGUAAAACUCUGUUAUUAGGGAAGAACAUAUGUGUAAGUAACUGUGCACAUCUUGACGGUACCUAAUCAGAAAGCCACGGCUAACUACGUG